rnacentral:snRNA from 1 species
AGCUUUGCACGGUGGCAGUAUCGUAACCAUUGAGGUUUAUCUGAGGCGCGAUUAUUGCUAGGAAAAAUAAAAAGAGGAAAAGAGGUUCUUUUUUAUUUUCUUUGAUUCAUCUCUUGCAGACUGAAAUAGAUGAUAUCUUUGAUGACUUUUCUCAUUUGGAAAUAAG